GCCUCUUCUAAAUAGCCAUUCGGAGGUCGGAGUAGUGGAAAUAUAGGAUCAUGUCUUUAUUGCAAUAGAGAGAAACAGUCCAAACUGAUUCACAGAGCUUGACAUUUCGCAUAAGUACAAGUUAUCAGUUACAAAGGAAUGUGAGCUACCCCCUAUUCUACAGUUUCUCACAAUAUAAUACACAAAGAUUUUCUUGCAAGAAGGGGGAGCCCUAGCAUUUGUUGACCUUGAAAUACUUAUAGUUACUAACAGCAAUAUGUGUUAAAUUAUACAAGCAAUUUAAACGUCUUAUCCCUUUACGUAUCAGACAGCAAGCUCAUG